UAACAUGUAGGGUGUUGUUCGUACCUUGCGGUUAAGAUCUCAAGAUUUUCCUUAUAUAAGACAUUAUUAAGUUCCCGUGGUGACUUCUGAUUGAUUGGCGUGCAGAGAUGCUCUUGAUGCAUUGGGUUUGGUUCGUUAUUGCUGUCGAAGAAUGCUCAUGACCCAUGUUGAUCUCAUUGAGAAGCUUCUGAACUACAACACUCUGGAUAAAAGCGAGGGCAGCUGAGGGAGGGGAGUUUACGGCGUUGCGAGGGACUUCAUUUGGUUGCUUUGUAUGAUAGGUUGGAGUAGUUUGAAUAUGCUUCUGGAUCACUGCCUUUAUGGUUGAACAAUGGGUUAUUACUAGUUCUGAAGACAAUAGUGAUGUACUUCUUUAGAAGAAAGAACUGAUCUUUUUGCCUUUUUACUUAUUGUGGAUUGUUUGUUCCUCAUAUAUGAGCUGCAUGUGAACUAAAUUUACAUAUUUCUGAAUUUGGAUAACCUCCUCAUUGCAAAA